GAUGAACGCUGGCGGCGUGCCUAAUACAUGCAAGUCGAGCGAAUGGAUUAAGAGCUUGCUCUUAUGAAGUUAGCGGCGGACGGGUGAGUAACACGUGGGUAACCUGCCCAUAAGACUGGGAUAACUCCGGGAAACCGGGGCUAAUACCGGAUAACAUUUUGAACCGCAUGGUUCGAAAUUGAAAGGCGGCUUCGGCUGUCACUUAUGGAUGGACCCGCGUCGCAUUAGCUAGUUGGUGAGGUAACGGCUCACCAAGGCAACGAUGCGUAGCCGACCGGGGAGGGUGAUCGGCCCGACUGGGACUAAGACACGGCCCAGACUCCUACGGGAGGCAGCAGUAGGGAAUCUUCCGCAAUGGACGAAAGUCUGACGGAGCAACGCCGCGUGAGUGAUGAAGGCUUUCGGGUCGUAAAACUCUGUUGUUAGGGAAGAACAAGUGCUAGUUGAAUAAGCUGGCACCUUGACGGUACCUAACCAGAAAGCCACGGCUAACUACGUGCCAGCCGCCGCAGUAA
rnacentral:rRNA from 1 species